rnacentral:rRNA from 1 species
GACGAACGCUGGCGGCGUGCUUAACACAUGCAAGUCGACAUGAGUGGCGGAGGGAUGAGUAAUACGUGGGUAACCUGACCUCCGUUUUGGGAUAAGCGUUGGAAACGGGGUAUAAUACCGACUAAAGGAGGCUAGGCUCGCGGCCUGUCAGCUUGUUGGAGGGGUGAUGGUCUACCAAGGCGGUGACGGGUAGCCGGCCUGAGAGGGUGACCGGGGACAGUGGGACGGAGAUACGGCCCAGAGUCGUACGGGGGGGAGAAGUGGGGGAUAUUGCACAAUGGGCGAAGGCCUGAUGCAGCGACGCCGCGUGGGGGAUGAGGGUUUUCAGGUUGUAAACCUCUUGCGAUAUCGAACGGGUAGCUGGAGAAGAAGCGCCGGCUAACUACGUGCCAGCAGCCGCGGUAAUUC